rnacentral:tRNA from 1 species
GGGCAAGUGGCGGAAUUGGUAUACGCGCACGACUCAAAAUCGUGUUCCUUACGGAUUGAGGGUUCGAUUCCCUCCUUGCCCACCA